CUUCUGGCAGGCAAACGUACUAAAGAGUUACAGGUGGUGCAGAUACGGUUUGGAAGGAAUCCCAGCUGGGCCUCCUCCCAGAAGCCUUCUGAUCACUCACCAGAUAACUCUAGCUGCUUGCAGAGUCCUGGGAAUCUUAGCUUCUCCAGGAAACCAGCUUCAAGGGCAACAAGAGGUUCUGAGGAGCUAGAAUAAUCUCGGAAGCUGAAACUGCUUUGUCCUUUUGCUUCCUUAGGUUGGAAAUAUUUUUGCAAUACCACUGAAUCCUCCAGUUUUUACCCCUUACGAUGGGAAGUGAAUACAGUAUGAAAAGGGAGUGGGACAUAUGAGAGGAACGACAGGCUCAAAAUAUGAAGACUUAAUCCAGACACCUCUGUGUCUCUGAACUUGCGUUGUUUCUUCUUUGGAGGUGAAGUACACAUCGUUUUACUCCGGGCAGAGGACUUGUGCUCCUUUUGAGAACUUUCAGCUCUGUAGUGUCGAGUCUUCUGGUUUCCAGAUCCACAUCCUGCCCUGGGGGAAUUGACAUCCAUCAGCUUCUUCUAGGAAAGCACUCUGAAGCCAAGUUGAAACAUUAUACUCUCAGGCAGUAGUAGAGAUCAACCUCUUAAAACCAAAUCCAUGGGCCCAGGAGUAUGAAUUAUCAGUCUGAUACGUGGUUUCUGGCAGACAGCUCCAGCUUACAACAGCAUCAACCAACAGACUUGUGAGUGAAGAUGGCUCCUGAAGGUAUCAGCCCCCCGCUGUCCAGUCACCUCCCAGCUUUUGAGUCUUUCCAGCCGAGACCCCAGACACCAAGGCACAGAGACAAACGUCUGCAUUGUAACCUGUCCAAAAUUCUGACCCACAGAGUUCUUGGCAUAAUAUAAUGAUUGUUUUAUGUCACUAAAGUUUGGAGUGGCUUGUCACAUUGCAAUAAAAAAUUGCAACAACGAAGGAGGUUGAUUAUCUUUUCAUGCUUAUUGAUCAUUUGCAUUUCUUCUGUGUACUGUCUAUUCACAAAUUUUGCCUGUUUGACUCUUGGGUUAUUUGUCUUGCUCAUAUUUUCUGCAUAUUAAUCCUACUUUUGUUACCUAUAUUGCAAAUGUAUUCAACCAGUUGCUUGCUAGGUAAUAGAGAAAUUUGAGUUUUAUGUAUCCGUUCAUUGUUUUCAUUUUUUAGUCUUGGGGUUUUGUAUCUUUUUUUUUUUUUUUUUUUUUUUUUUUGAGACGACGGAGUCUCUCUCUGUCACCCAGGCUGGAGUGCAGUGGCGUGAUCUCCGCUCACUGCAAGCUCUGCCUCCCGGGUUCAUGCUGUUUUCCUGCCUCAGCCUCCCAAAUAGCUGGGACCACAGGCGCCCGCCACCAUGCCCAGCUAAUUUUUUUUUUUUUUGUAUUUUUUAGUAGAGACGGGGUUUCACUGUGUUAGCCAGGAUGGUCUCGAUCUCCUGACCUCGUGAUCCGCCAGCCUCGGCCUCCCGAAGUGCUGGGAUUACAGGCGUGAGCCACUGUGCCCGGCCGGUUUUGUGUCUUUUUUAGAAAAAGGCUUUCCCAUUUGAAGAAUAUAAAAAUAUCCUAUACUUUCUUCUAGCACUUUUAUACCUUUUCUUAUUCAUCAUAAGAUCAGUCUCUGACUCUAUCUUGAAUUUAUUAUUUUACAUGGUAUGGGACAGUGAAAAUCUAACUCUUUUUAGAUGGAUAGUCAGUUGUCUCUGUACCAUUUAUUUAAAUCAUCCAUUCUUUUUCCAUUGAUUUGAAAUGCCUCCUUUAUGAACUAAAUUCUUAAAUAAAUAUAUGUCUAUUUCUAGACUGUCUAUUCUGAACCAUUAAACUGUUUGAUCAUUACUACAAAAGUGCCAUUUUAUUUUAAUUUAUAUAGCUUUUUGAUAUGUUCUGAUAUCCAGUAGAACGCAUAGUAUAGUCUAAUUUUUCUUCCCCCAGAAAUAUCUUUGCAGAUUUUAAGAAUUUCGUCUUUCAGAUAAAUUUCAGAAUAAACUCGCCAAGUGCCUUGCUUGGCACUUAAGUCACAGCCUUGCUUUGACUUAAUAAAUUAAUGUGUAGCAAACUGACAUAUUUAUUAUGUCUUCUUGUAUAUUAACAUGGUAUAUUUCCCCAU
rnacentral:lncRNA from 10 species